GAUGAACGCUAGCGGCAGGCCUAACACAUGCAAGUCGAGGGGCAGCACGUUAAGUUAGCAAUAACUUAUGGUGGCGACCGGCGGACGGGUGCGUAACGCGUAUGUAACCUACCUUUAAUUGGGGAUAAUUCGGAGAAAUCUGGUCUAAUACCCCAUAACAUCCCGGGAGGCAUCUCCUGGGGUUAAAAAUUCAGGUGAUUAGAGAUGGACAUGCGUAACAUUAGUUAGUUGGUGAGGUAACGGCUCACCAAGACUACGAUGUUUAGGGGGACUGAGAGGUUAACCCCCCACACUGGAACUGAGACACGGUGCAGACUCCUACGGGAGGCAGCAGUGAGGAAUAUUGGUCAAUGGGGGCAACCCUGAACCAGCCAUGCCGCGUGCAGGAAGACGGCUCUAUGAGUUGUAAACUGCUUUUGUACGAGGGUAAAGUGGGGUACGUGUACCCUUUUGAAAGUAUCGUACGAAUAAGGAUCGGCUAACUCCGUGCCAGCCGCCGCAGUAA
rnacentral:rRNA from 1 species